UCUGAAUGGGCCCUGGAAAUGGAGCGUUGAAGCCGUGGAGAUCGAGGGUUCUGGAAGGACUGGAAUUCUGGAAGGACGGGAAUGGGAGAGACAACUGGGGGCGGUGCAGCCACGGAACCUGAAAGCCGCAGGGAUGAUUUCUGGCAAAAAAUGCCUUCCUCGCUCCGGACCGACCCGAUAGAAUGCAUGAAACGGAUGAAGUGGAGAUUUACAAGGAACCCAGCCGUUUUCACAGGGUCUUAUCAUUGACUACCCAGGCCCCUAAUGCCUGCUUGUCAAUUAGUGAGUUUUAGGAUGAAAUGACACUGUUCAAACGUUUCUGUGCCUAAAGGAAAGUAAACAGGAAGUCACGCCCCCAGGGGCUCGGGAGUUUUCUAUUACCUGUAGCUUAUCUUCGUGAUUCGUAUGGGUUUGAGACAGAUACCGGAAUUCCUGAGUGAGCCAGAAGCAGUGUUUGACGUGCUCCGGGGAAACGAAGUCUUCCGCCACUUUAAUACAACUGUACAAGUUAUGCACCUAAGGGAAGACGAGAGCAACCACGAGAUGAGCGCCGAAAGGCCCCAGCCGACGGAGGGGACGGGGUAAGAUUAGACUGUAAGCCCGUCAAACGGCAGGGAUUGUCUCUCUCUGUUGCCGACUUGUUCAUUCCAAGCGCUUAGUACAGUGUUCUGCACAUAGUAAGCGCUCAAUAAAUACCAUUGAAGGG